ACGUUAGCGGCGGACGGGUGAGUAACACGUGGGUAACCUACCUAUAAGACUGGGAUAACUCCGGGAAACCGGGGCUAAUACCGGAUAACACAUGAAACCGCAUGGUUUCAUGAUGAAAGACGGUUUUGCUGUCACUUAUAGAUGGACCCGCGGCGUAUUAGCUAGUUGGUAAGGUAACGGCUUACCAAGGCAACGAUACGUAGCCGACCUGAGAGGGUGAUCGGCCACACUGGAACUGAGACACGGUCCAGACUCCUACGGGAGGCAGCAGGC
rnacentral:rRNA from 1 species